GACGAACGCUGGCGGCGUGCCUAACACAUGCAAGUCGAACGGUCCGGCACUCAACCGACCCUCAGUCUAGCUGUAGGUGAAGUUGAGUGCCGGAUAGUGGCGGACGGGUGAGUAACGCGUGGGCAACCAACCCUGUACAGUGGGAUAACACCGGGAAACCGGUGCUAAUACCGCAUGACACCUAGAUGGUGCAUACUGUUUAGGUUAAAGGGCAAAACCGGUACGGGACGGGCCCGCGUCCCAUUAGCUGGUUGGUGAGGUAACGGCUCACCAAGGCGACGAUGGGUAGCCGACCUGAGAGGGUGACCGGCCACACUGGGACUGAGACACGGCCCAGACUCCUACGGGAGGCAGCAGUGGGGAAUAUUGCGCAAUGGACGGAAGUCUGACGCAGCGACGCCGCGUGAGCGACGAAGGCCUUCGGGUCGUAAAGCUCUGUUCUUGGGGACGAAUAAAAUGACGGUACCCAAGGAGAAAGCCCGGCUAACUACGUGCCAGCAGCCGCGGUAAUGAGUAGUACACU
rnacentral:rRNA from 1 species